GACGAACGCUGGCGGCGUGCUUAACACAUGCAAGUCGAACGGAAAGGCCCUGCUUGCAGGGUACUCGAGUGGCGAACGGGUGAGUAACACGUGGGUGAUCUGCCCUGCACUUCGGGAUAAGCCUGGGAAACUGGGUCUAAUACCGGAUAGGAGCCACUUUUAGUGUGAUGGUUGGAAAGUUUUUUCGGUGUAGGAUGAGCUCGCGGCCUAUCAGCUUGUUGGUGGGGUAAUGGCCUACCAAGGCGGCGACGGGUAGCCGGCCUGAGAGGGUGGACGGCCACAUUGGGACUGAGAUACGGCCCAGACUCCUACGGGAGGCAGCAGUGGGGAAUAUUGCACAAUGGGCGCAAGCCUGAUGCAGCGACGCCGCGUGGGGGAUGACGGCCUUCGGGUUGUAAACUCCUUUCGCUAGGGACGAAGCUUUUGUGACGGUACCUAGAGAAGAAGCACCGGCUAACUACGUG
rnacentral:rRNA from 1 species